UACGGGGGGGGCAAGCGUUGUUCGGAAUUACUGGGCGUAAAGGGUUUGUAGGUGGCUUGUUAAGUCAGACGUGAAAUCCCUCAGCUUAACUGGGGAACUGCGUCUGAUACUGGCGAGCUUGAGUGCAGGAGAGGAACGCGGAAUUCCAGGUGUAGCGGUGAAAUGCGUAGAUAUCUGGAGGAACACCGGUGGUGAAGGCGGCGUUCUGGACUGCAACUGACACUGAGAAACGAGAGCCAGGGUAGCAAACGGG
rnacentral:rRNA from 1 species